UUUCUUUCCUUUGCAUGUUACUAUUUUAUUUAUUUAUGUUCUUAUUUUUUUGGCUUGGUGUUUGUUUAGUUUGUAGGGUUUCGCUUUGGCAAUUGAUGCCUAGGGUUUUUUAAUUGCAUGCUUGAAUUCCUUUUGUGUUUUCAUGUGCUUAAGUUUGAGUUUUUAUACGGUUGUUUUCUUCUGGGUUUUUGUGGUUGUUCUUGUGUUUCUGACUUCAGAAUUAAGAACUUAUUCAUGCACCAAAACAUAGUUAAGAAACAAUUGGAAAAAAAAAAAAUUGAAUUAUUAAAUAUUAGAUUCAGCUCAGCUUACAUGUUCCAGGAACAUCUGCGUGAAAGAUUUAUCCUUUUCUGUACAUCAGUCCCAAUUUGUAAGAAUUAAGGUUAAAAGUUUGUAUUUUGACUAUUUUCUUAACCCUUUUUAUGCAAAAAAUUUGGCCUGAAGUGUAAGCUUGACUUUCAAAGCAUUUGGAAUUUACUUUGUUUUCAAGAUGGAGAUGUUCCAUGCUCACAAGAACUAGUUUUAGAUUUUUCCAUUAAUUUCUCAAAGCUUUUGUACAUUUUAUUCGGUGUUGUAUAAUUUAUGACGAAUAUUUUCUACCUCUUGGGUAGCAGUUUAAUUUCCAUUGAAAAUUAGAUAGUUUCUGGUUGUAGAUAGUUUUCUUAGAAAUCUCUAGAUGAGGUUUCUGAUAGUAUUUUGCAUGUUAUGUUGUGUUCUUACUUCUUAAUUUCAUGUUCUAUGUGUCCCUGAAAGAUCAUUCUUGAUCUGUAAUUAUAGGGUAGGUCCUAGAUAUUCUCUAGUCAUACUUUAUAAUUUUUCAACCCAGCACCAUAGUUCCGGUAUAUGUCAGACUUCUUUGGAGUCGAUCAUGAUACUACUGUACUAGGUCUGUAUUUUCUGUGCUAACAAUCUAGGUCAGUUGGUGUUAUUGGGGAUAUCAGAUAUUUGGUUAGUAUUUUAUAUAGAUGUGUAUGUAUGUAUGUAUAUGUGUAUAAAGUUCAUUUUAAUUUCUCACCUUUUAUUUCCCCCCCCCCCCCCCAAUUUAUGUGUGGAAAUUUGAUCGCAUGUGGAAGAUCCCUUGUUGUGAUUGUUAGAACAUUAUAAGCUGCUCUUUUCCGUAGCUACUGAUGUCUAAUUUGAGCUAUGGUUUGAUGUUGUGUGACAACGAGAGAGAGCACGCUUGUCAUCACGCAUGAAAGGAUCAUGGUUGUUUACGGGCGUGCCCUCUCUUGUUGUCAUUCGGUCCACCUGCUCUAUCUUUGGCAUAUGAUAUUAAUUUGCAGGUGAUUUUGAUCUCUAACUAUACAUGCCAGAAUUCGCAUAUGAUAUAUAUAUAUAUUACUUGUUUUUACUUCAAUUUGUUGUAAAUUUUUUUGUGGAAUCAUUUUUUGUGAACUUAUUGAGUCUCAUGUUUGAGAUCCAAAAUAAUGUGCUCAUUCAACAAUUGUUAAAACAUUUUGACAAAACAAAAAGCUAUUGGUAAAACAUAAUAUACGGAACUUCAAUAUUCAUCCGUAGCACAUCAAUUAAUCAUUUACCUCAACCAAUUAAGUUUGUUUAGCGGCAAUCCACUUUGUGUUACCGUUUAGUGGUAUUCUUUUUACUUGUAAGUGAAAGGUCCUAGGUUUGAUUGUUGCUAAAGGAGAGUUCGAACCAAAUUAUUAUGGCUAAUCCAUUGUGAGGUUUAGCCCACUCCCCCACCCCUUUAGUUUAACAUCAAAUGUAUUAAAAAAAGUUUGCUUAGUGGGGACUUAGGAUGGGGUUGAAAAGAUUUGUGCUGAUCAUGAUGAGUGCUUGUUGUGUUGUGCAUAUUGCAGAUGUUGAAAAUUUUUGUGAAAUUUACUAAUUAUUGAUCUUGGCAAUCUUGGCUGAUUUGCCUCCUUGUUUUAAUGAUAAUUCCGCCCAAAAACCAUAAUAUGUUCUUUACACAUAUUAGAACCGAAAAAGAUAAUCAAGUUAGAUUUUAAGGAAAACUAAUGAAAAUGGCUUGAAAACUUUGAGUUUUAAUUAUAAGGACAAAAUAAAGGGUAAAGUGAAUAGUACCAGGAUUGACUUUUUAGUGUAAAAAUGUGGUUUUUCGUUAAAGUGAACAGUACCGGGAGCUUUUCGUUAAAGUUCCCUAGAUUCUAAUGAGAAUCUAUAAGUUGAAGGUUUGUUUUAUUUAAAAAGAAGGGUGGUUUUCACAUAUGAGAAAGUAGAAGUUGAAGAUUUGUUCAAUUUGCAUCCAUUACUAUGUUUCUAACACUUCCUAAAAUAAUUUUUAAAUUUUCCUUUUGAUUUUAUUAGAUAUUUUAUUUUCUAAUUUAAAAACAUAAAUUUAUUAAACAUAAAAGCAAAGAAAAGGGUCUGUUUUGCAUAUGGGAUAGGGAAAAUUUGGAUACUUUUUUUCUUUGCACUCAUUGUUGUGCUUUUCAAACUUUUCAUAGUAUAUAAACAUUCUCAGCAUUUAGUUUUAUUCAAUUUUCUCUUUUGUAUAUGGCCAUUGUGCCAUGGGAUUGUGGAGGAACCAAAAGGCCACAGUGGCAUGAUCAAGAUCGUCAUUGUGGUUGCAUGGCCAAAUACUCUCUUAUUGUUCUUUGUUCCUGCAUUUAUAUAUUACUCCCAACAUAUUUUGCUUAACUAUUUAUUAGCUUGUGUAUUUCUUCGUUUAUGUGCCAUAUAUAGGCAUUUUGUUGUUAUAUUAAUGAAAACUGUGAAAUAACGUUAAUCUGUAAUUUGUAUCCAAGAAAUCAAAAUUUGAAGUGAUUAGAUUAAUCAAAAAACACUUUUAGAUACCAUUGUUUCAUUUUAAGAGUUUUGGAUUUUGGACUCAUGUUAUAUUGUUAUUUCACUAUCUGCGAUGGAGAUGUAGUUUCAUUUAAGGGAAGAUAAUUCAACGACGGCACUGUAUUUGUAUAUGUGUGAGAUAUCCAUUUUCUUGUCAAAUUUUCAGAGAAGAAAUGUGAUUAGUGGAUUGAAAUGUUAAGGAGGGACAAAUAAAUGGGUGAUCUAAGCAUGAAAUUGCAGGGUUGCUGAUGCUAUAUAUACCAGUGGUGAUGGUGAACUCAAUGAACAGAUCGUAUUUUGGCAAUGCUAACUUGGUAUUUGUGGGGUUGACGGUGAUGGUGAGAUGUGGUUUGCCAGCUAGUAGAUUGUGUUUUACUGGAAAGGAUGAAUAUGGCUGGAGUUGGGUUGAUGAGGAUUCCAUUCCCCUUAUUUGUUCCUGCUCAUACCAGUAUUUUUACCAUUUUCUCACCCUUUUAUCGUUAAAUUGAAUGGUAAACUGUAACGCUAUCAAGUAAACCAAAAAAACAUGUGCUAAGGGACUGGGCAUGAUUUUGUUGUUAAUAUGAUUGAAUGAGUCCAUUACUGGAUACAGAAGCAAAAUAUAUGAGCACUCCUUUUAUCUACUAAUAAUAAGUGGAAGACUUAAGAAUGAAGAGAAACAUUGCUAAUGCAAUAGCCGUGACAAUGGCAAAUUGGCUAUGCAUACAAAGCUAAUUUUGGUAUGGGUGGUGUGAGAGUGAAGGUUGGGGAUGCAAUUUUGCGGCUGUUGGUGUUACCUUGGUUGUGAGUUGGUUGUAGUUUUUUGCCUAUUUUUGAUGUCAUUUUUGUACUCUUUCCCAUUAUGAAGGAUGAAAAAACUCUUAUUUCUCAAACUUCAGGCGUAGCAAGACUUAUGUAAGAUGAGGUGCUUAAGUCUUUUCCGUUGUUUGAACCCACGAGUCUUCUCACCAAAAAAAAAAACAGUUAAAUAUUGUUCAGAGUAAUUCCGAAGUGCUUGAAUGAUCACCAGGAGUUGAAUCUGAAGACCGACCUUUCUAGUUUAGCAUCUCCUUCAAGCUCAUAUCAAAACUGGGAUCCGCCGUUAUGAAGGCCGGCUUUUAUUGUUGAAACAGAACACUCUCCCAGCUUGGAUAUUAUAUGCGAAACCUGAUGGUUUGGGAGGUGGGGUGUCAAACAUCCUUUUCGAGUUUAAACCGAAAUUUAGUAUAUCAAUAUGCAUUAUUUUUACUUGGAUUUUAUGUAUAUUCUGACAAUUGGUCCCUCGAUAUUUGUUCUUUUAUCAUAUGCUUUUUCAGCAUUUCAUUUCCUCUGGAUUGUGUGUUCUUUUUCAAAACAAGUGGGAUUUGGAAGUCAUGUCAUCACCCAUCCCCUCCCCUCAAAGAGAAUUUUUAGCUGAGUGAAUGAAAUGAUUCCAACGUUAUUCACCGCUCUGGUCAAUUUUGGACUUAAGCGACUCUUCAUGCUCAUCUCAGCCUCUUGGCCCGCCUUUUCCUGAAUCUAGGAUCGAGCUUCUUCCCCCAUCUGGGGUUGAUGCCCGCGGUGGAUGACAUAGCAGUGGUUUAGCAUGCCCUUAUUUCAGCCAGCACUGGCAUGGCCUGGCGGGAAAGUACCAUCCCUUUCAACAGUAAGACCACCUCCAAUGGUUGGGGAAAAUCUAGUCAAGAUAAAUAGUGCAAUUGAAAUCCGAACUUUAGACUAUAGUAAUGUCCUUCAAAUCAAAUGAUGUAUUCUCUUCCCUAUAUCCCAGCUGUUGCUCAUUGUAAGAAGGCACUGAAGAGCUCUUUUAAGAUCACUGCUCAGCAUGGCCAAAUCAAACUCCAACCUACAAAAAGGGAUGACAAUGAUAUACGGUUCAAUUUGAGAUGAAACGGCUGGUGCUUGCAUUUGAAGAUAAAAAGAAACUAAAGAACGGCAUGAGAAACAAUUGUGUUUUCCUUUACCUUCUUUACAAUCUUGUUCACUUUCCUUUUGCUUUCAUCCAACUACAAUGGCCAAUAAGUUUGUUGAUGAUCACUUUGAGUUCUAAAACAAAAGUAGUGAAACUUGGAAUCCGAUUUCUUU